CUGUUUUUUUCGACGGGAGCCAAAAAUAGCCAAUUUUGAGCGUCCCAAAAAAUGAUCAAAACGUGGAGUAACAUAGAGUAAUAUCUAUAACCAAUAUUCCUUGGCUAAUAAAUGGUCGGAUCAAGUAAAAAUACAGCGUGUUACGCCAUGGUUUCCCUUCGAAAUAUUUUUUUUUCAAACACUGCGGUCGUCCAGCCGUGCCUGACGAGCGCCACGCAUGACAUCUCGCAAACAAAUCAAUGAUAGAAAGAACAUCAGCGUUGGGAUUCAUGAUGUUCGCAAAGUUCUACUACAAAGCAAGACUACUAAACUGCCGACAACUUUGGUUUCCUUUGCAAUAAUUACUUUCAGAGUUCAAAUGACGAUGGACGAGGGGGCCUGAGGAGACAUCAUUUGAUUGGUAAAACUGAUAAAUAAGGCUCAAGGUCAAGUAUUCUCCUCGCAGCUCUCGCAGCCGCUUUUAGUUUCGGUCACGCAACGUUUCCCUCACUAGGCAAUGGUGUUGUCUGACAGUCGCGCCUUAUUUCUACCGCGCGGCACUCAUUUUUUUUCUUUCUCUUUUCUAUUCUUCUUUGCUUGGUGUCCUUUUUGCUGUUCUUGGCCUUCAUUUUUUUUUUUUACUUUUGCGACCCCAUUUUUGUCAAACCCGAAUCAUCAAGCUACGACUGGCUAAUGCACUAGUCAGUGGAAAGCCCCUCCGCACCCCCAUACCCGGGGAAUAGCGGGGCUUUCGAUGCUUGGAGCUUAUAAAACCCCGCUAUUGCCCCGCACUGCGUGAUCUGUUUUCACAACGAAAAUACACAUACAGGACUCGCCCCCGGGAUGUAUUAAAACCAAAUAAUCAAAUUUUGAUCGAUUGUAUCGAUCGAUCGUAUUAAUAUUUACAAACAAUCCUUAAAUGCAUUUGAGCUCCUUAAAGAGAUUGAUGUUGUAUCAUGUACAGUAUCUCUCAAAUGAGCUAAAAGACGUGCCACUUAUUCCCAUUACUUGCAUUCAUAGUGCAACACGUUAAUUGAUAUAAAACCGAUGAAACGCUAAAUGAAAUAUCUUUACUCAACAUGAACAAUCUCCGACAGCUCAGCCUAACGAACUUGCUCACGCAUUAUUAACUUUUCUUGUCCAUUUACACUUAUAGUAUCGAAAACCACAGGCAGCCCAAGGUUACUGUCAGAAGUUUAUAAAGGAAUGUAUGGGGGAAUUUAUAUGUUAUAUGUUAGCCCCCCCAAAAAAUACUUUAUCGUGGAAAAUAAAACUUUAGACCAUGUAAUAUUGUGUUUGAGUCUUCCUUUAUUUCAAUUUUGCCGAUAGAAUGUCAGUAGAGCGAGUUUGAAGCCCGUCACGAAUUGUGUUUCUUAUUCUCUGUCCUUGGGCUGCCUGUGCGAAAACCUGUACAUGUAGACUCAUUGUUCGUGACUUCGUAUGCGAGCUUGUGCAGUAAAACCUCUCGUGGAUUUAUAUAUUAUACACAUACACCAAAAUGUGUGUCCUCAUGGUUUGUGGUCACGUCCUUUGAUAUUGUACCGUGAGAAGACUUUAAGUUUGUGAAAGCAAAGCAUCGAAUUAACUGGAAAAGGUAAUUUCUUUGACGUUUUGGGCUUCCUGUGGCAGUUUAAUCCCGGCUCCAGUCCCCACCUACAGCGCGGUAUUCAGCUUUGCCGAUGUAAAACACGUCUAGCGCCCCGGGUGCCGUGGUCAUAUUUCGCCCCGCUUAGCCCCGCUGUUCCCCGGGCAUGGGGGUGCGGGGCUUUCCCCCGACUAGUGCAUAACGCUCGAAACGUCAUCGAAAAUACUCUGUUUUCAUAGGGGCGCAAAACAUACCAUUUCAAAAUGUAUUAAUUUUUUUUCUCUGAUUCUACCUACGCCGACCACCACCUAGUUUACUCUACACCUUGCCUGUAGUAUUCCAGUCAUACCUGAUUUAUCAUCAGACGUUAUACACGGCCAUAGCAACAGUUAAUUAAGGAGUGCAUUUUAGUCAGGUAGAGUUAAUCAUCAAUGAGAAAAUAAUAUUUUUUUGUGUUUUGUCUCCUGUCUGUAUAAUGGAUUCUCGAAGUUGGGGAAAGCACCAUCCCGAAAAGGGGGACAAAGGGUGUGUUUGAGGGUCGGGGGAGUGGGUACCUGCCGCUCAAUCUACCACUACAGGGGGUGAAGCAAUAAAUCUUUGAGGAUGAAAAACUGUGUUACCCUUUCUCCCUUAACGUGAAUGUCUCAAGGGUACCCACUGCCUCUAGUCUAUGAAUAUAUAUCACGGGCAAACAAGCCAAAAUUUUUGUGUACCGAAUAUUGAUAUCUCUAAUAAAGCCAAUUUCUUGAA